GUCACCUUGUAUGUCAAUACCAUGACUAUUUUAAAAUUAACUCCAAGGGAAGGGUGAACUACCUGACUGGUCAGAAAAAAGCAAACUACUUCUUUAACAGGAGGAAGUGUUACUUUUGCAUCUGUGUGAGUUGGGGUCCAGCUGUCUGGAAAGCAGCUCUGCAGAGAAGGACACCAGGGCUCUGGUGCACAGCACGUUGAAGGAGCCAAGUGUGCCCAGCCAAAGGUUGGACACAUCCUCAUAUCAUGUCAAAAGCAGUUCUUGGAAGGAUAAAAGAAAGAGUUUGAGAGGAGUGCCAAAGCAAGAGAAUAAAAAGGUGUAUUCCAGUAUGCUAGUAACUCGAUUUGAAUGCGAGUAACUAUACCAAGCGCUCUCCGUGAAAGUUUAAGUAGGAGCAUACAAAGCUUCUUCCUUGUUUUGUGAGAGCAAUCCCACACAGGAGAAAAAUGGUGAGUAUCUUGCUCCAGACUGUGUGCUGUUUAAAGCCAAGUCUCACAUUUCAGUAUCUCAUUGAGUUUAUUUUCCUG